rnacentral:rRNA from 1 species
CUACGGGGCGCAGCAGUGAGGGUUAUUGGUCAAUGGGGGAAACCCUGAACCAGCAACGCCGCGUGAGGGAAGACGGUUUUCGGAUUGUAAACCUCUGUCCUCUGUGAAGAUAAUGACGGUAGCAGAGGAGGAAGCUCCGGCUAACUACGUGCCAGCAGCCGCGGUAAUACGUAGGGAGCGAGCGUUGUCCGGAUUUACUGGGUGUAAAGGGUGCGCAGGCGGCUCUGCAAGUCAGGCGUGAAAGCUAGGGGCUCAACCCCUAAAUUGCGCUUGAAACUGUGGAGCUUGAGUGAAGUAGAGGCAGG